AGCGAACGCUGGCGGCAGGCUUAGCACAUGCAAGUCGAGCGGGCACUUCGGUGUCAGCGGCAGACGGGUGAGUAACACGUGGGAACGUACCCUUCGGUUCGGAAUAACGCUGGGAAACUAGCGCUAAUACCGGAUACGCCCUUUUGGGGAAAGGUUUACUGCCGAAGGAUCGGCCCGCGUCUGAUUAGCUAGUUGGUGGGGUAAUGGCCUACCAAGGCGACGAUCAGUAGCUGGUCUGAGAGGAUGAUCAGCCACACUGGGACUGAGACACGGCCCAGACUCCUACGGGAGGCAGCAGUGGGGAAUAUUGGACAAUGGGCGCAAGCCUGAUCCAGCCAUGCCGCGUGAGUGAUGAAGGCCUUAGGGUUGUAAAGCUCUUUUGUCCGGGACGAUAAUGACGGUACCGGAAGAAUAAGCCCCGGCUAACUUCGUG
rnacentral:rRNA from 1 species